AAAAUGCACAUAUUCAGUAUAGACAAAAAUUAAUACUAUUAAUUAACAGCAAACAGUAACUAGCUGCAUAGGUAAUUAGCUAUAUAAUUAAAUGCGGUCCAAAAGGAGCAUUUAAUUAUAUAACUAGGUUUCAUGCUACACUCACUACCAAUUUCUACCUAGUCAUAGCUUGAACUAAUUGUUUGGAACACUGGUUCAAAUGUUUUUUGUAUAAUUAACACAAGCCACAAAACAACUGCCUUUUGCUGGUUAGCAAAAUCCAUUUUUAAAAUAUAAUCAUUUUUUCAAAACUGCAAAUUUAUUCUUAAAAAUCGCCUCAAGAAUGUACAUACAGACUUGCAGGCAAGCACGCAAAUUUGACAAGGAUGAUUUCAGUUUAAAAAGUAGGUAAUAGCUCCAGACAAUCAUACUGACAUGUCUGGCUUUUUAAGGCAUGUCAACAAAUCGUUGUCAGACUCUUGACCAGCAUAGCCCACUACAGCUCUUUCUUAAUGUGGCAAAGAGUCACAUUUUCCACAUCAAAUACGAGCUGAACUAGUAGGUGGUGCCGUGGGAGUGGGGUACUACACACACUAUCUAAGCAGUGGAGAUUUCAGUCGGCGAUCAAUAGUCCUCACUUUUGCUGAUUAACCGUCUGUUAUCUGCAGUUUUCUGUCUGGCUCACGGUGAAUUUUGCAUGACACACACGCUUAAUGUGCAUUGGGUGUUGCCGCGGCGAAGGGCUAGGGUGUGUAAUACGCGUGUCAUUUCUUGUUUUAUUUUCACAGUGAUGACCAGCAUGUGGGAACACGGGAAAACAUAGCGCCAGCCAAAUCCCGCAGGGGAAAGGGGCCUGUUGAAGAUCCGUCCACUCCCGGGGGUGAUAACAUUUAUGUUAACAGUGAGACACCAUAUUUUGAA